rnacentral:rRNA from 1 species
UACGAAGGGUGCAAGCGUUACUCGGAAUUACUGGGCGUAAAGCGUGCGUAGGUGGUUCGUUAAGUCUGAUGUGAAAGCCCUGGGCUCAACCUGGGAAUGGCAUUGGAAACUGGCGAGCUUGAGUGCGGGAGAGGGAAGCGGAAUUCCUGGUGUAGAGGUGAAAUUCGUAGAUAUCAGGAGGAACACCGGUGGCGAAAGCGGCUUCCUGGCCCGACACUGACGCUCAUGUACGAAAGCGUGGGGAGCAAACAGG